UGGGGAAUAUUGCACAAUGGGCGCAAGCCUGAUGCAGCCAUGCCGCGUGUAUGAAGAAGGCCUUCGGGUUGUAAAGCACUUUCAGCGGGGAGGAAGGCGAUAAGGUUAAUAACCUCAUCGAUUGACGUUACCCGCAGAAGAAGCACCGGCUAACUCCGUGCCAGCAGCCGCGGUAAUACGGAGGGUGCAAGCGUUAAUCGGAAUUACUGGGCGUAAAGCGCACGCAGGCGGUCUGUCAAGUCGGAUGUGAAAUCCCCGGGCUCAACCUGGGAACUGCAUUCGAAACUGGCAGGCUAGAGUCUUGUAGAGGGGGGUAGAAUUCCAGGUGUAGCGGUGAAAUGCGUAGAGAUCUGGAGGAAUACCGGUGGCGAAGGCGGCCCCCUGGACAAAGGCUGACGCUCAGGUGCGAAAGCGUGGGGAGCAAACAGG
rnacentral:rRNA from 1 species